GGAGCACACAGAAGAGAAGUGGCCACAAUCUCACUGGCCAGUCUUGCCUGUAGCUACCGUCUUGUCAUCAACGUGUGUUCCUGGAUUUUCUGCUGCAAACAACCCUGCAUCUCAAAGAACAGUAAUGUAUUCAAGAGAAGAACAACCAUGGCAGGAAUCUGACAAUAAUCAUCCAUAUCUACUCCCUUCUCCAAGCAGAAGUGCAAGGGUUCGCAGGCCAGCCCUGCCUUCCAGGCCGCUGACAACAUCCAGAGCUGGCUACACAGCACGGCCCCCUCCAGGCCCAGCAGAGGCGGCAGAGAGACAUCCCG
rnacentral:lncRNA from 10 species